CUCCAACUUCUAUAAAACUUAAGAAAGAGAGAGAGAGAGAGAGAUAGAGAGAAAGAGAGAGAGAGAGAGAGAAGAAGAAGAAGAAGAAGAGAGAAAGCUCACCUGAGCUCGUCGCCGGAGCCACCACACGCCAGGACGUCGUCAAGCUCGUCACCACCAUCAUCCGCAACCAAAGGUGAGACCGACGAGCAGGAGUGAUUAUCGGACCGGUGCUAUUGGGCUUUUGGGCUUCUAUCGCUUUUACCGCUUUUAUCUUUAUCGGGUCUUUAGGCCUUUGGACUUUUAUCGUUUAUGUUAUUCCUAUUUCAGACUUUCGGUUUAUGUCGUAUUUUAUAUUUCGGAUGUUAUCGUUAUCGGGCCUUUUGGCGUUAUGCUAUCGUAUUGACUUUUAUAUUAUGGUGGAAAUUAUUAUUAUUAUUUGAGUUG